AAUUUUGAGAGGUCAAAGUCAAGAUAGCACAAGACUUUAAUUAAAACUUUGGAACAUAUUGAGGAAAAAUGACGAUAGGUGGAUGGUUUGCGCUUUACAGAGUGCCAAUUCUAGUUUGUCUAUAUUUUCAAGAUCAAGUGCCUCAUAAAAGCCUAUAUAUAUACAUAUUUUGUACUUGCUUUGUAUAAACAUAUUACAUGUAUCAUGUUUGUAGAUAUUUCUCAUUGUCAGUGGUUCCCAUUCGGGACUCCCCUAAAGAUUACGUGAAUAAUAAAUAAAAAAUUUGGUUGAACUAA
rnacentral:lncRNA from 1 species